UCCAGCCAGAUUUUGGAAGGCUCAAGAUAAUUAAUAAGCUGAGAUGCCAUGCCAUCACCUUCUUUUAAACAAAUAUGAUUGUAUUUCAUUUUCAAAAAAAUAAUGAUUGUAUUUCUUUUCUGCUAUGCAUUUUUAGUUUUUGCCACUUAGGGUCAAGCAAUCCCCAAAUCACAACUCAUAUGUGGAUGCUUAGAUUUUUUUUUUUUUACUA
rnacentral:misc_RNA from 1 species